rnacentral:rRNA from 1 species
CCAAUAGCGUAUAUUAAAGUUGUUGCAGUUAAAAAGCUCGUAGUUGAAUUUCGGGGUUUAUACGUUGGUCGGGCUUUUGGGUCUGUACUGGCGUAAUGAAUUCCUACCUUCUGAAUAACCAGCAUGUCAUUAAUUUGGUGCGCCGGGGAAGCAGGACUGUUACCUUGAAAAAAUUAGAGUGCUUAAAGCAGGCUAUUGCCUGAAUACAUUAGCAUGGAAUAAUGAAAUAGGACGGCAUGGUUCUAUUUUGUUGGUUUCUAGGAUCACCGUAAUGAUUAAUAGGGAUAGUUGGGGGCAUUAGUAUUCAAUUGUCAGAGGUGAAAUUCUUGGAUUUAUUGAAGACUAACUUCUGCGAAAGCAUUUGCCAAGGAUGUUUUCAUUAAUCAAGAACGAAAGUUAGGGGAUCGAAGACGAUCAGAUACCGUCGUAGUCUUAACCAUAAACUAUGCCGACUAGGGAUCGGACGAUGUUAAUUUUUUAAUGACUCGUUCGGCGCCUUACG